GUGCUUGCUUCAGCAGCACAUAUACUAAAAUUGGAAAGACACAGAGAAAAUUAGCAUGGCACCUGUGCAAGUCUGACAAGCAAAUUCAUGAAGCUUUCUAUAUUUUA
ensembl:snRNA U6 U6 spliceosomal RNA